rnacentral:rRNA from 1 species
AAGCACUUGAAGUCAGCCAUGCUGCUUGAGACUCAGCCUGGCCUUUGGGCUUGGUGUAUUUCUCGGUGGCAAGCCAGCAUUGGUUUGGGUCGUCGGAGAAGCGCAUAGGGAAUGUAGCGUUUCCGGACGUGUUAUAGCCUUAUGCAGGAUACGACGACCUGGAUCAAGGAACGCAGUGUGCCCUCUGGGCGGGUCUUCGGACACCUUCACACUUAGGAUGCUGGCGUAAUGGCUUUAAGUGG